rnacentral:rRNA from 1 species
GACAGAGGAUGCAAGCGUUAUCCGGAAUGAUUGGGCGUAAAGCGUCUGUAGGUGGCUUUUAAGUCCGCCGUCAAAUCCCAGGGCUCAACCCUGGACAGGCGGUGGAAACUUUCAAACUAGAGUAUGGUAGGGGUAGAGGGAAUUUCCGGUGGAGCGGUGAAAUGCGUAGAGAUCGGAAAGAACACCAACGGCGAAAGCACUCUGCUGGCCGACACUGACACUGAGAGACGAAAGCUAGGGGAGCGAAUGGG